rnacentral:lncRNA from 1 species
CAGGUGGAGGAACUGGUAAUCUUCUCAGGGCUUUGCCUGAAAUGGUGUUGUGAAAUGUUCCAGCAAAGCCCAUUUAGGAGAGCCUAUAUGGACAAGGAUUCUUGCUGCACUUUGUGUGGGUAAUCAGGCCAAGUAUAUGGGACUGAAGCUUCUUUUGCAGGAAAGGACCCUCAGCCUCUCAAAAAGCAUCAUAGACCUGAAACUCAGCAGAUCACAGCAUCCAGACAAUGACUUGCCAGUCCCUUCACUCAUCAUGAGUGCUUCCUCACCCUUCCCUAGUUCCUCUUUUCCCACACACAGUUACGUUUCUUCCCUGCUGUAUAAACCCCUCGUUUUAGUUGAUCAGGGAGAUUGAUUUGAGACUGAUCUCCCAUCUCCUCAGCUGCAGCACCCAAUUAAAGCCUUCUUCCUCGGCAAUACUCAAUGUCUCAAUGAUUGGCUUUCUGUGAGCUGAGCAGCAGGGCCUAGACGGAACUCCUGGGCUUUCAGUAACGAUGCAUGUACACUUUUAAACACUGCAAUUAAUGGGUCAUGAGAUAUUGAGAAAUUGGAAUGGCAUCAACUUGGCCAAUUCUGAGAAAACACACUGUGCUUAAAUGUCAGGGCCCUGCCUCCUGACCUCGACAGUAUAUGGUUGAUUUUGAGUCAUAGCAGGUGAGUAUGGCCUGGUUUCAGUGUUUUAUAGAAAUAUAAAAUAUGGCUGAUCGCAUUUAUUUUAAAUCCAAC